AUGAACGCUAGCGACAGGCUUAACACAUGCAAGUCGAGGGGCAGCACAGGUAGCAAUACCGGGUGGCGACCGGCGCACGGGUGAGUAACGCGUAUGCAACUUACCUAUCAGAGGGGGAUAACCCGGCGAAAGUCGGACUAAUACCGCAUGAAGCAGGGGCCCCGCAUGGGGAUAUUUGCUAAAGAUUUAUCGCUGAUAGAUAGGCAUGCGUUCCAUUAGGCAGUUGGCGGGGUAACGGCCCACCAAACCGACGAUGGAUAGGGGUUCUGAGAGGAAGGUCCCCCACAUUGGUACUGAGACACGGACCAAACUCCUACGGGAGGCAGCAGUGAGGAAUAUUGGUCAAUGGGCGCGAGCCUGAACCAGCCAAGUCGCGUGAGGGAUGAAGGUUCUAUGGAUCGUAAACCUCUUUUAUAAGGGAAUAAAGUGCGGGACGUGUCCCGUUUUGUAUGUACCUUAUGAAUAAGGAUCGGCUAACUCCGUGCCAGCAGCCGCGGUAAUACGGAGGAUCCGAGCGUUAUCCGGAUUUAUUGGGUUUAAAGGGUGCGUAGGCGGCCUUUUAAGUCAGCGGUGAAAGUCUGUGUCUCAACCAUAGAAUUGCCGUUGAAACUGGGGGGCUUGAGUAUGUUUGAGGCAGGCGGAAUGCGUGGUGUAGCGGUGAAAUGCUUAGAUAUCACGCAGAACCCCGAUUGCGAAGGCAGCCUGCCAAGCCAUGACUGACGCUGAUGCACGAAAGCGUGGGGAUCAAACAGGAUUAGAUACCCUGGUAGUCCACGCAGUAAACGAUGAUCACUAGCUGUUUGCGAUACAGUGUAAGCGGCACAGCGAAAGCGUUAAGUGAUCCACCUGGGGAGUACGCCGGCAACGGUGAAACUCAAAGGAAUUGACGGGGGCCCGCACAAGCGGAGGAACAUGUGGUUUAAUUCGAUGAUACGCGAGGAACCUUACCCGGGUUUGAACGCAUUCGGACCGAGGUGGAAACACCUUUUCUAGCAAUAGCCGUUUGCGAGGUGCUGCAUGGUUGUCGUCAGCUCGUGCCGUGAGGUGUCGGCUUAAGUGCCAUAACGAGCGCAACCCUUGCCACUAGUUACUAACAGGUAAAGCUGAGGACUCUGGUGGGACUGCCAGCGUAAGCUGCGAGGAAGGCGGGGAUGACGUCAAAUCAGCACGGCCCUUACAUCCGGGGCGACACACGUGUUACAAUGGCGUGGACAAAGGGAUGCCACCUGGCGACAGGGAGCGAAUCCCCAAACCACGUCUCAGUUCGGAUCGGAGUCUGCAACCCGACUCCGUGAAGCUGGAUUCGCUAGUAAUCGCGCAUCAGCCAUGGCGCGGUGAAUACGUUCCCGGGCCUUGUACACACCGCCCGUCAAGCCAUGGGAGCCGGGGGUACCUGAAGUCCGUAACCGCGAGGAUCGGCCUAGGGUAAAACUGGUGACUGGGGCU
rnacentral:rRNA from 1 species